GUGCUUAACACAUGCAAGUCGAACGGAAAGGCCCUGCUUGCAGGGUACUCGAGUGGCGAACGGGUGAGUAACACGUGGGUGAUCUGCCCUGCACUUCGGGAUAAGCUUGGGAAACUGGGUCUAAUACCGGAUAGGAACCAUCUUUAGUGUGGUGGUUGGAAAGUUUUUUCGGUGUAGGAUGAGCUCGCGGCCUAUCAGCUUGUUGGUGGGGUAAUGGCCUACCAAGGCGGCGACGGGUAGCCGGCCUGAGAGGGUGUACGGCCACAUUGGGACUGAGAUACGGCCCAGACUCCUACGGGAGGCAGCAGUGGGGAAUAUUGCACAAUGGGCGCAAGCCUGAUGCAGCGACGCCGCGUGGGGGAUGAAGGCCUUCGGGUUGUAAACUCCUUUCGCUAGGGACGAAGCUUUUUGUGACGGUACCUAGAUAAGAAGCACCGGCUAACUACGUGCCAGCAGCCGCGGUAAUACGUAGGGUGCGAGCGUUGUCCGGAAUUACUGGGCGUAAAGGGCUCGUAGGUGGUUUGUCGCGUCGUCUGUGAAAUUCUGGGGCUUAACUCCGGGCGUGCAGGCGAUACGGGCAUAACUUGAGUGCUGUAGGGGUAACUGGAAUUCCUGGUGUAGCGGUGAAAUGCGCAGAUAUCAGGAGGAACACCGAUGGCGAAGGCAGGUUACUGGGCAGUUACUGACGCUGAGGAGCG
rnacentral:rRNA from 1 species